AAGUCGUAACAAGGUUUCCGUAGGUGAACCUGCGGAAGGAUCAUUAAUACUUUAUUAUUAUUUUUUUUGCACUUGAGCUUUCUGAAAGAAAAGAUUUUCUUUUCAAUCAGUUGUUCAAUUUUCUUGCAAAAACGUUUUUUUCCUUUUUGGGUUUCAUGUACAAGCUACUGAUCCCAACCUCUUUCUUAAACCCCUUACUGUUAUUUUUCGUUAUGUUUUGGCGACGUGUCGGAAGUACAUCAAAGAUUUUUUCUUUGGCGAAACUGACCUCGUUGAAGCAGCAAAAGAAUGUAAAAGUUUUUUUGUAUUUAUUACAACUCUUAGCAGUGGAUAUCUUGGUUCUG
rnacentral:misc_RNA from 1 species